rnacentral:rRNA from 1 species
AUUGAACGCUGGCGGCAGGCUUAACACAUGCAAGUCGAGCGGAGAUGAGGUGCUUGCACCUUAUCUUAGCGGCGGACGGGUGAGUAAUGCUUAGGAAUCUGCCUAUUAGUGGGGGACAACAUUCCGAACGGAAUGCUAAUACCGCAUACGUCCUACGGGAGAAAGCAGGGGAUCUUCGGACCUUGCGCUAAUAGAUGAGCCUAAGUCGGAUUAGCUAGUUGGUGGGGUAAAGGCCUACCAAGGCGACGAUCUGUAGCGGGUCUGAGAGGAUGAUCCGCCACACUGGGACUGAGACACGGCCCAGACUCCUACGGGAGGCAGCAGUGGGGAAUAUUGGACAAUGGGGGAAACCCUGAUCCAGCCAUGCCGCGUGUGUGAAGAAGGCCUUAUGGUUGUAAAGCACUUUAAGCGAGGAGGAGGCUACUGAGACUAAUACUCUUGGAUAGUGGACGUUACUCGCAGAAUAAGCACCGGCUAACUCUGUGCCAGCCGCCGCUGUAACAC